GACGAACGCUGGCGGCGUGCUUAACACAUGCCAGUCGAACGGAAAGGCCCUGCUUUUGUGGUGUGCCCGGUUGCCGAAGGCGUGAGUAACACGUAAGUAACCUGCUCUUGACUUUCGGAUAACUUCACGAAACUGGGCCUACUACCGUAUAGCAGCUCCUGCUGCGUGGUGGGGGUUGGAAAUUUUCGGCGGUCGUGGUUGGACUCGCGGCUUAUCAGCUUGUUAGUUGGGUAGUGGCUUACCAAGGCUUGGACGGGUACCCGGCCUGGGAGGGUGGCCGGCGACAUUGGGACUGAGAUACGGCCCAGACUGCUACGGGAGGCAACAGUGGCGAACAUUGCACAAUGGGCGGAAGCCUGAUGCAGCAACGCCGGGGGCGGAAUGACGGCCUGCGGGUUGUAAACCGCUUUCGCCUGUGACGAAGCGUGAGUGACGGUAAUGGGUAAAGAAGCACCGGCUAACUACGUG
rnacentral:rRNA from 1 species